GGGUACUCCCGGGGACCGCCUCGAAGAGACACUGCAGGACGGGGCUGUGGGCUGUGGCCGGUGGGUCCAGAUCCAGCCCUCUGAGCUGUGUCCUGCUGCGGAAGAGGCCCGUUCAGCCAUGGGUCUGCCGUGUGAUGCUGAGCCAGCCACAUCCCUUCUCUGGGCCUAGGUAAAUCAGGAUGCAGAACUCAGCUUCCUCCAGCAAGCACUUGGAGCCCCG
rnacentral:lncRNA from 1 species